CCUACGGGAGGCAGCAGUGGGGAAUAUUGGACAAUGGGCGCAGCCUGAUCAGCCAUGCCGCGUGAGUGAUGAAGGCCUUAGGGUUGUAAAGCUCUUUCACCGGAGAAGAUAAUGACGGUAUCCGGAGAAGAAGCCCCGGCUAACUUCGUGCCAGCAGCCGCGGUAAUA
rnacentral:rRNA from 1 species